rnacentral:rRNA from 1 species
CCUACGUGAGGCAGCAGUGGGGAAUAUUGCGCAAUGGGCGAAAGCCUGACGCAGCGACGCCGCGUGAGGGAUGAAGGUCUUCGGAUCGUAAACCUCUGUCAGCAGGGAAGAACGGUCACUGUGCUAAUCAGCAGUGAAUUGACGGUACCUGCAAAGGAAGCACCGGCUAACUCCGUGCCAGCAGCCGCGGUAAUACGGAGGGUGCGAGUGUUAAUCGGAAUUACUGGGCGUAAAGCGCUCGUAGGCGGUAUGUCAAGUCAAGGGUGAAAUCCCCGCGCUCAACGUGGGAACUGCCUUUGAAACUGGCAAACUGGAGUGUGUGAGAGGAUAGUGGAAUUCCAGGUGUAGGAGUGAAAUCCGUAGAUAUCUGGAGGAACAUCAGUGGCGAAGGCGACUAUCUGGCACAUAACUGACGCUGAGGAGCGAAAGCGUGGGUAGCAAACAGGAUUAGAUACCCCAGUAGUC